rnacentral:misc_RNA from 1 species
GUCUAAUUUCAAUAUAUGCUUACAGUUUCAAGCCCAGGCGUCCUGUCGAAAAUUAAAGGAUUUUCAAUUUCGUCAAAAAAGAUGAAUGAAGCUUAUGCCAAAACUUGUAAAAAGUCUGGUUAUGAAGUCGUUAAAUCAAGAGAUAUAUUUAAGCAACCGGAAACGUCUGAUGACGAAGUGAGUCUGAGUUUAAGCGAAGAGUCAGAGGCAGGAGAAUCUACUACUGAAGUUGUACAGGCUCCUAUGGAAGAAACCGAACAAGUUGAACAGGCUGCAACAGUAGCUGAAACUAUAUCUACAGCUGUAGUAGAAACUAUUACCACAACAGUCCAAAACGCUAUUGAUCGUUGCAUUGUCCAGUGAUGACCAAUGGUUAAUUCCACUGUAACAGAUAUAACGUAAAAGGCUGAAGAAUCACUCGCCGAAUGAUUUGAUAUUUUUUAAUAGCCAGGAACUGGGAUGCAUGAAUUUUCCUUUCAUACAAAGCUGCAAUUUUGUAAAUAUUUUUUUAAGCUUAAAUAAAAUAAUUUUUGAUUUUAA